rnacentral:rRNA from 1 species
UACGUAGGGUGCAAGCGUUGUCCGGAAUUAUUGGGCGUAAAGAGCUCGUAGGCGGUCUGUCACGUCGGCUGUGAAAUCCCGAGGCUCAACCUCGGGUCUGCAGUCGAUACGGGCAAACUAGAGUAUUGCAGGGGAGACUGGAAUUCCUGGUGUAGCGGUGAAAUGCGCAGAUAUCAGGAGGAACACCGGUGGCGAAGGCGGGUCUCUGGGCAAUAACUGACGCUGAGGAGCGAAAGCGUGGGGAGCGAACGGG